CGGCAAAUUAAAACCAACUCUUAAUUGUC
rnacentral:piRNA from 1 species